GACGAACCGUGCGAACGUUGUUCGGAAUCACUGGGCGUAAAGGGUGCGUAGGCGGGUCUUUAAGUCAGGGGUGAAAUCCUGGAGCUCAACUCCAGAACUGCCUUUGAUACUGAGGAUCUUGAGUUCGGGAGAGGUGAGUGGAACUGCGAGUGUAGAGGUGAAAUUCGUAGAUAUUCGCAAGAACACCAGUGGCGAAGGCGGCUCACUGGCCCGAUACUGACGCUGAGGCACGAAAGCGUGGGGAGCAAACAGG
rnacentral:rRNA from 1 species